UUUGAGAUCCCUUGUUCUGGCUUAGAAAAAUUGUUAAAAAUUAUAGAAAAAUAAUUUUGGGGUAUAAUUUAUAUUCCUAGAAUCUUGGGUGAGUCUACUUUUAAUAAAAACAAAUUAGAACAUCAUCCGAGUUUUUUACUAUGAGAUAAAUAAAUUUUAGUGAAGAAAGGUCGAAGCUGUUAAACAACAAAAUAGGGGAGAUUUUGAAUAAUAAACUGUACUUAUUUGCUGGACUAAAAAUUCUGAAAAUUUUAUGGUGGAAAGAUAUAUGAGUCUAGUUUUUUUGAAAAUUUACGAAUCUUAAUUUGGAGUUCCGUAACUCUAAAUAUAAAUGAUUUAGUGACUAUUACUCAAGAAAAUAGCUUAACCAGAACAUGUGUAAAUGUACAAAUGAGUUAGUUUUAUUGUGGGAAGCAUGUUAGUAAAUUGCUUAUUAUUAUUUCAUGUCAGCUUACUAAGCAUAAAACUUACCACCCUCCUUUCCAUUUCUUUUAGUGUUUUCAGGUUAGCUCAGGGUUGGAGACCGUUGGAGGCAACAUCACACUAUCAAGCCAACACUUUGACAGUAUAAACACAUAUGCUAGAUUUAUCAAGUGAGUGGCAUGUAUAGGGACCUAAUUUUAUAACAUGUGUUAUUAUUAUUUGGCCAAAUAUAUUGGUCUUUAGUGAGCUAAUGAUUCUGACUUAUAAAUCUAGCUAUUUAUGUUAUGUUUGAUAUUAGUGAUAUGCAUAUGCUUGGUUGUCAUGCAUGGUUGGUAAUAAGUUGUUUAAGUUGUUUAAUUGAUGAAUUAAGUUUAGAAACACUUCGUGCUUGACUCCGGCGAUGGUCUUGGGUACGGGGGCGUUACAGUUUAAGACAGACAGCCUUCAAAGGAAAGUAUGGUGGGGCUAGUUAUGUGGACGCUGGCCGGAAAGAAUUUCUGAACCUGGUCCAAGGGAGUAAGUCAAUGGCUAAGUAUGAGUCUGAGUUUCUGAGACUGAGCCGGUAUGUUUCUGGGAUUGUCGCUAUAGAGUAUGAGCGUAGCGUACGCUUCGAGGAUGGUCUGAGAGAUGAACUUAGGGUGCUGAUUGCUCCGCAGAAGGAGCGUAACUUCGCUGCUUUAGUAGAGAAAGCUAAGAUAGCUAAGGAAGUGAAGCAUACAGAAAGACAGAAUCGUGAAAAAGAUCGGAACCGUUUUAGGAGAGAUUUAGGACUUUCAGGUGGUAUGAACAGGAAUGUUAAGAGAGCAAGGGUAAUGGAGCCUGUUCGAGUAGUACCGAUGAAUGCUGUUAGACCGCAGGUGUAACACCCCAAACCCGACCAGGAAGUUUGGCUUGAAUCUGGUGUGUCACAUUGAAGUGUUUUUCGGAAACCAUGUUUCCAUUAAAAACCCUUCUUAAUAAUUAAAAACUUGUAACCUUUUUAAACCUUGUUAGAAAACCUCAGCUGAAUAACAUUCUUAACAACUUUGUAAAAAAUCCUGGCAGUUGCGGAAGCUUAAUUUAAAAACAAUUGCGGUUACGUGAUGUUUUGAACAACAGUAGCUGCUUUGGAAAACCGUGUUCUAAUACUAGUAAUUAUAAGAACAAUAAAUAAAAUUCCAAAUUUGAAAUCCAGAAAAUUACAACGGCUUUACUACAACCCACAUAAAAACAUUUAAAAGCAAUAAUCAAAACUAUAACAUAAAAAGUGUGUGUGGCUUCCUCCGAGCCCCUCGCAGGCCCGAUCCGUCUAAAUCUGGAAAUUACCUAAAAGGUUAAUAAACGGGGUGAGUUUACGAAAACUCAGUGUGAAAUCCCCUACUAUAUAAAAGGAACAGUCAGUCAUAUAAAAGAAUUAAAAGUUGGCCCCAACCCUACUUACAGUUUCAGUAUCAAUUGGGCGUUAGCCCAUUUUAACAGACAGUACCAGAUGGGCUUUAACCCAUUACAGAAUAAGGAACAUUAUCAGAACUAGAAUCAGAAUCAGAAUCAGAAUUAGGUGAUAGAAUCAGAAUCAAAAUCAAUAUUAUGUGACAGAAUCAGAAUCAGAAUCAAUAUCAGGUAACAGAAUCAAAAUAAGAAUUAGUAUCAGGUAAAAGAAUCAAAAAUCAGAAUGUGAAUGAAAUCCCAACCCAAUCCAGCCUAUAACCAACCGCUACACUCCACCCGUACCAGCCCUACACUCCAUGUGGGGAAUAGCUCAACCCACCUAGCCCUACACUCCACAGUUGCAACAUUGCUGCUCAGUUAUCAGAGGUAUUUACCCUACAGGGGUAUUCCGAUAAUUCUACCCUACAGGGGUAUUCCGGUAAUUCUACCCUACAAGGGUAUUCUAGUAAUUCUACCCUACAGGGGUAUUUCGGUAAUUCCACCCUACAGGGGUAUUUAGGUAUUUCUACCCUACAAGGGUAUUUCGAUAAUUCUACCCUACAGGGGUAUUUCGGUAAUUCUACCCUACACGGGUAUUCCGAUAAUUCUACCCUACAGUGGUAUUUCAGUAAUUCUACCCUACAAGGGUAUUUCGGUAAUUCUACCCUACAGAGGUAUUGCGAUAAUUCUACCAUACAGGGGUAUUUCGGUAAUUCUACCCUAUAGGGGUAUUGCGAUAAUUCUACCCUACAGGGCUAUUUCGGUAAUUCCACCCUACAGGGGUAUUUCGGUAUUUCUACCCUACAAGGGUAUUUCGGUAAUUUUAUAAAUCGAGGGUAAAAUGGUAAUUCUGUAAAUCAAGGGUACUUUGGUAAUUUUACAAGUCGAGGGUAUUUCAAUAAUUUUACAAGUCGAGGGUAUUUCAGUAAUUUCACAAAUCAGAGGUAUUUUGGUAAUUUCACAAAUUAGGGGUAUUUUGGUAAUUUUACAAACUAAGGGUAUUUUGGUAAUUUUAUAAACAAAGGGUAUUUUAGUAAUUUUACAAACCAGGGGUAUUUUGGUAAUUUUGUAAACCAAGGGUAUUUUGGUAAUUUUACAAACCAGGGGUAUUUUGGUGAUUUUAUAAACCAAGGGUAUUUUAGUGAUUUUACAAACCAAGGGUAUUUUGAUAAUUUGGUAAACUAAAGUAUUCUAAACAGGGAUAACAAUACGAAUGGCCCUAAAGCCUUUUCUAGGCCCAAAUGGGCCCACACGCUCGUGUGGCCCUCUUAGCCCAAAAUCUAGCCACAAAUAUGAGAUUCACCUAGCCAGUCCAAUAUUUACUACACAAUCAAACAACUUAUCCAAUUGGGCCCGUAGACCCAUUAGGCCCACAUGACCCCUUUCGGCCCAUCGCUUCCCGAAGUAGCCAUCCUACAGCUAGAGUAGCGAGAAAUACACACCUGAUUGGAUACUGGAGUUAAUCCACGCUCUGAGCACUCUUAGCCGACGCCCAACCCAAACGAGCACGCCAUAAAGCGAAAGGGAUCAGCCAAGAAAUGUACCUUUACUCUCCUCAUGGUUCUUUAUAUUUAAAGCCAGCUUCGCAUCCACUCUUAUGUUAGCUUCCCGAUGUGGGAUUCCUCCAUCAUCAGAGUUUAAAUUCAACACCAACUCUUGCCGCCCCCUGUUAGCAAAAUAAAUGCUCUUUGCUUGCCAUGGGAUUCGAACCCAUGCCUCCCCUUAAAUGCUCCACACGCUACUUGCCACUAAGCCACAAGGCUUUUUGUGUCACAAUUUCUCCAACAAUAUUCUUAAGGCCUACCUACUACACCCAGGGUUGAUUCACCUUAAACCAAAAUUUUUGCUAGAGUCCAGGUUUGAACCCAGGACUUUUCCAACACUUUUCAGCACACUUAACCACUAAAACAAGCCUUCAUUAACGAAAUUUUCACGCACAACAGAAUAUUAUAAGUUGCCUUCAGCCGCUCCCAUGCUUAAGGCCCAAAUUCAGGGUGUUACAGCAGGGUUGUAGAAAGUGUGGGAAGAUGCAUAUGGGCAAGUGUCAGAAACGUUCUGGUGCUUGUUUCCGAUGCAGAUCUAUGGAGCAUAGGGUUAAGGAUUAUCCCCAAGAACCAGAUCAGGUUCAAGUUUUAGAGCAGAGGGUUGCUCAACCAGUGAGGGGUGGACCAUAGUUUCCGAGAGGACGUGGGUAAGGCAGAGGUGGUAAUGGAAACGGUCGAGGAAGAGGAGCACCUGGCAGGGGUGUUGGAUUUCCUGAGGCUCGUCGCCUAGAGGAGGGUGAUGCACCUGACGUCAUAACUGGUACAUUUCUGAUUUCCAGUAAGCCAUACACUGCGUUGAUAGAUGUUGGAUCUACCCAUUCAUAUGUUGCAUGUACUAUAUCUGGGUUGCUGGGUGUGCGCUCUGAGGAGACCGUGAGUAGGGUAUCUAUACUAAGUCCUUUGGGUCACUCGGUUAGGUUAGAUAAACUGUAUAGAGAUGUGCCUAUAGAAACUCAAGGAAAAGUUUUCUCUAGAGAUCUGAUGGAGCUACCUUUCAGAGAAUUCGAUCUCAUUUUGGGAAUGGAUUGGCUUGUUAAGCAUAGGGCUACUCUGGAUUGUGCUAUUAAGCGAAUAAUGUUAAAGACCACAAAGGAUGAGGAGGUUUUGGUGAUAGACGAGCGUAGGGAUUAUUUGUCUAAUGUGGUGUCGACAUUGAGAGCCAAGAAGUGGAUUCGAAAGGGAUGUGAGGCUUAUUUGGCAUUUGUAAGCCAAUCGAAAACUGAGGAUCUGACAGUGGAUAAAGUUAGAACCGUCAAGGAUUUUCAAGAUGUUUUUCCAGAGGAGCUUCCAGGUUUGCCCCCGAACCGAGAGGUUGAGUUUGGAAUCGACUUGUUGCCUGGAACGGCACCGGUGUCCAUUGCACCUUAUAAGAUGGCACAGAAGGAGUUGGUGGAGCUGAAAGCCCAAAUUCAAGAGUUAUUGGAUAGAGGCUUCAUUAGACCAAGUGUGUCUCCGUAGGGAGCACCAGUGUUGCUCGUAAAUAAGAAAGAUGGGUCAAUGCGGAUGUGCAUUGAUUAUCGGCAGUUGAACAAACUAACGAUUAAGAACAAGUACCCACUACCGAGAAUCGAUGAUUUAUUUGACCAACUUAGAAGAGCUUCAGUAUUUUCCAAGAUUGACCUUCGAUCUGGGUAUCAUUAGUUGAGGGUUAAAGAGGUGGAUAUUCACAAGACGGCAUUCAGAACUCGGUAUGGCCACUAUGAGUUCUUGGUUAUGCCAUUUGGGUUGACGAACGCACCUGUGGCAUUUAUGGAUCUGAUGAAUCGAGUGUUCCAGCCAUACUUGGAUCGAUUCGUGGUCGUCUUUAUCGAUGAUAUUCUGUUUUAUUCUGAAAUUGAGGAUAAGCAUGAUGAGCAUCUUCGUAUUGUGUUGCAAGUGCUGAGGGAGAAGGAGCUUUAUGCGAAAUUCAGUAAGUGUAAGUUCUGGUUGAGAGAGGUAACUUUCUUGGGGCAUGUUGUCUCUGCUGAAAGGAUCAAGGUGGACCCUCGAAAGAUUGAAGCGAUUCUAGAAUAGAAGCCACCGAGGUCAGUGUCAGAAAUUUGAAGUUUUCUAGGUUUAGCUGGGUACUAUAGAAGGUUUGUGGAAGGAUUUUCUGUGAUGGCAGCGCCUUUUACAAAGCUUAUAACAAAGGGAGUACCGUUUGUUUGGACUGAGAAACAACAGGAAUUUUUUGAGAAGCUGAAGAAAGUUCUGACUGAGGCACCUGUACUGAUUCAGUCGGAGUUUGGAAAAGAUUUUACCGUAUGCAGUGAUGCAUCACAUGUAGGGUUGGGCUGUGUGCUGAUGCAAUAGGAAAAAGUGGUUGCUUAUGUAUCGCGAUAGCUUAAACCACAUGAAGUUAACUAUCCUACUCAUGAUCUGGAGUUGGCAGCGGUAAUUUUUGCGCUUAAGAUUUGGAGACAUUACCUGUACGAAGAAAGGUGUAUUAUAUACAUAGAUCAUAAGAGUCUUAAGUACUUGCUGACUCAGAAGCAGCUGAAGCUUAGGCAGCGGAGAUGGAUAGAGUUGCUUAAGGAUUAAGACUGCACAAUUGAGUAUCACCCAGGCAAAGCUAAUGUGGUGGCUGAUGCCCUAAGUCGUAGAACUGUAUCUAAUCUGAGAGCCAUGUUUGCUCGUUUGAGUCUGUAUGACGAUGGUAGUCUGUUAGCAGAACUGCAAGUUAGGCCAACUUGGGUGGAUGAGAUUAAGGAAAAACAGUCGAGGGAUGAGUCCCUGGUUUCUCGAUUCUGGCAGUUUAAGAAUGGGGAUACUUCUGAGUUCGAACUGAACAGUGAAGGAGUUCUAUGUUACCGAGGUAGAGUUUGUAUUCCGAAGGAAUCUGACUUGAGGCAAGCAAUUCUGAAAGAAGCUCAUAGAGGUCUGUGUGCUAUGCAUUCUGUGUGCUGUGCAUCCUGGAGGGAGUAAAAUGUAUCGCGACUUAAAGAAGUUGUAUUGGUGGCCUGGAUUGAAGCGAGAGGUAACGAAAGUUGUGGGAAAAUGUCUGACUUGCCAGCAAGUGAAAGUUGAACAUCAAUUACCUUCCGGACUUUUGCAUCCAGUGAAAGUACCAGUUUGGAAGUGGGAGAGGGUAACCAUGGAUUUUGUGAGUGGGUUACCCUUGACACCAUCGAAGGACUCGAUUUGGGUAAUUGUGGAUAGGUUGACCAAAUCUGCUCAUUUCAUACCUGUCCGCACUGAUUAUUCACUUUAGAAGUUAGCCAAAUUGUAUGUGGCAGAAAUAGUACGACUUCACGGAGUACCAGUGUCGAUUAUUUUUUAUCGAGAUCCUAGAUUCACAUCUCGGUUUUCGCAAAAGUUGCAUGAGGCGUUGGGUACGCGGUUGAACUUUAGUACAGCCUUUCAUCCUCAGACUGGUGGUUAGUUGGAAAGGGUUAUUCAGAUUCUGGAAGACAUGUUGAGGGGAUGUGUUAUCGACUUUCGAGGCAGUUGGGAGGAUUACUUACCGUUGGCAGAGUUUGCUUACAACAACAGUUAUCAUGCAAGUAUUCGAAUGGCUCCUUAUGAGGCACUAUAUGGGCGAAGAUGUCGUACACCUAGUUGUUGGACUGAGUUGGGUGAACGACAGGUUCUUGGACCUGAGUUGGUGGCAGAUACUGAGGAUAAGGUCAAGUUGAUUAGAGACCGGUUGAAGGAAGCAUCUGAUAGACAGAAGUCAUAUACAGAUUUGAAGUGCAAGGAAAUUGAGUACUCUGAGGGUGAUAUGGUCUUCUUGAAGGUUUCACCUUGGAAGAAAAUAUUAAGGUUUGGGAGGAAAAGCAAGUUAAGUCCGUGGUUCAUUGGGCCUUAUCAGAUUAUUAAGCGAGUGGGUCCAGUGGCUUAUCAGUUGGAGCUACCUCUAGAGUUGAAUAGGAUUCAUGAUGUCUUUCACGUCUCCAUGUUAAGGCGGUAUCGUUCUGACCCUACUCAUGUUGUUUCGGUUACAGAGAUCGAGGUCCAAACAGACUUGACUUUUGAGGAAGAGCCUGUGCAGAUUAUGGAUCGAGAUGUUAAGAUUUUGAGGAGGAAAUCAGUUCCGCUAGUAAAGGUUCUGUGGCGUAAUCAUGGCAGAGAGGAAGCUACUUGGGAGCCAGAAGUGGCAAUGCGUCAACAAUAUCCUCAUCUGUUUGAUUCAGGUAAAAUUUCGAGGACGAAAUUUCUUUAAGUAGGGUAGAGUUGUAAUGCCUCAAUUUUCGGGUUUUCUGUGUUUCUGUGAUUUUUAAAAUUUGUGUGUGUUCUGGUUGGUUAAAAUAUAUAUUUUAGUAGGUUAGUGGGCCUUUGGAAGGCCCAAACUUAAGUUAAAUUUGUGGUAGUCUUUGGAAUUUUAAUUUUAUGAUCAGGUGAUGCAAUUGGCGUUUGGGCUUUUGAGAGUAAAGGGUAAAAGAUGACACAAAAAGGAGUGUGGUGUAGUGGCAAGGUGGCGCCAUUUAGGGGACAAGGAAGUGACGCCAUAGAGGAAGCAAGAGGUCCAAGGUUCAAGUCUUGGCUCUUGCAAUAUAUUUUGGUUUUUCUUUUCAAUAAAUCUGGAAGCAAAUAAGUGCGCUUUAAAGUUUAUUGUGUUGGAUUUAUGACACAAAUGAGUUGAUGGCCUAGUGGUGGUGGCGUGAGUUGGCAUGUGAGAGGACUUUGGUUUGAAUCCCUUGGCACACAAAGGUUGAUUAUUUUGCUAUGUUGGGACGGCAAGAGUUGGUGUUGCUUUUAAACUCUGGUGUUGGAGGGAUCCCAAAUCGGGAAGCUAACAUAAGAGUAGAUGGAGAGCUGGCUUUAAAUAGAGCAAACCAUGAGGAGAGUAGGCAUACCCUUCUUGGCUGAUCCCUUUCGCUUUGUGACAUGCUCGUUUGGGUUGGGCGUCAGCUAAGAGUGUUUGGAGCGCAGAUUAACUACAGUCUCCUAACAGGUGUGUAUUUCUCAUUACUCAAGCAGUAGGACUGCUAUUUCAGGCCGCGAUGGGCUGAAAUUGGCCAUGUGGUCCCAAUGGGUCCGUAGGCCCAAGUGGAUAAGUUGUAGAAUUACUAAAAUACCCCGGUAGGGUAGGACUACCGAUUUACCCCUGAAGGGUAAAAUGACUAUUUUGCCCCUCAUGCGAAAAUGACUAACUUAUGCGAUGAUUGGGUUAGUUGACGUGGAUUUAUGUUAGUUAUCGUUAAUUCGUAAGUCUAAUGUGUUAGUGAUCGAUUGUAGGAUUAUCGCGUGGGAGAUAUCGUCAUCAAUCGUCAUCAACCAGGUGUGUAAACGACACCCUCCCUUAGACUGAAUUGGUAAAAGUUGAAAUAUCGAAAGUUGGUAUUUUGUGAACUCGCGAGCGUGCGAGUGCUUGUGAGAUAGUUGUUAAUGAAUCUGGUGCAUUUGGAUGAUUAGAGUGCAGAGUGUGCAUUUUCGUGCACAACAGUUUUUUUGGGCUUAAUGGGCCGAAAAUGGGCCAAUAGGCCAACGGGCCCACUUUGGUAAAAAGAUGAGGUAUGUACUUCUGAUUACUUGGUAAAUGUUAGAAUGAGGAUGAAACCUUAGCAAUAGGUAACAAUUACUGAAAUACCCUUAUGCAUGCAAAAUUACGAUUUUACCCCUAGGGUUAUUUUUUCUGAAAAGCAUGAUGUUCUGUUUCUGUAUACGUAUGCCAUGACAUAUUAUUUUUGUUGCAUGGGACAUGGGUUUAUAUUGAUAGAGGAAGCGUUCUGGCAGCCUCGCUGCAAUCUGGUUGUUUCGCCACAUAUAUCUGUUCUGUUGACUUCGUCACAAUAUCUGGCAGCCUCGCUUCAAUCUGGUGGCUUCGCCACACAUAUAUAUAUAUAUGUUCUAGUGGCCUAGCCACAAUAUCUAUAUUUGGUGACUUCGUCACAAUAUCUGGCAGCCUCGCUGUAAUUUCUGUGGUGUGUAGCGGUUGGGUGGGUCUAGUAGUCUCCCCACAUGGUGUAAGGCUGGUACGAGGGUGUUAUGGAUGGCUCUGGGUUGGGAUUUCUGCAUUCAUGAUAUAUUUGUUCUGUAUCUGCUAUGGGCUUAUGGGUUUCAUUUUGAUUUCUGUACUGGGCCAAGGCCCAGAUAAGUCUGACUCUGAGGUUUGAUCUGUUUUGGGCUAUGGUUGGGUUAUGUUACACACUGAGUUUACUGAACUCACCCUUUAUUUUCAUCUCUGCAGGAAAUCCCCAACCAUAGUGAGCUUGGAGCUGUGAGGGAUUCGGAGUGGCCACAUCAUCUGCAAAGUUGGUUUUUCUAAGUUAGUUUAUUUUUAUUAUUUUUAUAUUCUGAUUUAAUUUUGGGUUUUAAGUUGUAAUAAGGCCGCUAUUUAAAUUUAUUUUUUCCGCUAUGGUUUUAUUUUCUAAUUAUAUUUAUACUAAGACGAAACUGCUAGUGUUAGGAUGCGCGGGUUUUCAAAAUUAAUGAACGUUUUCAAGACUCAACAAGCACAACAAAUAGAUAGCCUAAAGAAUGAUAAACUGGCUUUUCAUUCAACCGCUGUUUUUACAAAGACCACCCCGAUCACUUAAACCAGCGAAUGCAUACUAAGUCAUAAGUCCAUGUGACACGUCAGAUCUGGCCAUAACAUCUGGGCCGGGUUUGGGGUGUUACAUUUACUCGGUUUUGAAUUAUUUCUAUGUUUUUUGAGUCGUUAUAGCUUAAUUUAACUAGCCUAAGGACUAAUUUGUGAAACUGUUAAAUUAUUAGGGUUUUACCAUUGAUGAAUGUGUACGUGUUUUGAUGUUUGAUGGAAGAAAAUGACCUUUGUUGUUAGAUAAACAACUUUUGUAAAGUGAUUAUUAAUGAAUUUGUUAAAUAGGGAUUAAAUUGAUAAAAUGUGAAAAUUAUUGGUAAAUGUGUGAAAUAAUUAAAUGUAUGGGCUGCUAUGGGUCUAUAUAGAAUUCGGCUUGCAUGGGUGUGGGUUAAAUUGCAUGAAUUUGCAUUUUUAUGAAAUAGGGACUAAAUUGUAAAGUAGUCAAAUGUUUAGGGGCAAAAUGGUAAUUUUUUCAUAAUAUGACAUUGGAUUGAAUUGAAUAGAGUAAAUAUUAGAGUUGUUAAUUUUGAUUAUAUAGAUUAAGAAAAGCCACGUUUAGAAUUAGAUUUGGGGGAAAACAAAGUAGUAGAUUGAUCAGCUGAUUUUCUUUGUAUUAAUUCGAGGUAAGUUCGUAUAUUAAUAAGCUUUAAAUUAUAUAUGUUUAUAAAUGCUUAAUUAAUCCAAUUGGGAUGAUAUGUUACUAUGGAAAUUCUCUACGAGAUGUCGUUAAUUAUUUGGAUCCUGAUUAAACCUUAGGAAUAGAUAGGAUACAAAUGACAUGUCAUUAAGGGGUAAUUGUGUUUUGGGUGCUAGUUCCGUACGUUUUACUGGUGGCUGAAUUUUUCGUCAUGUGUUGUGGUUGCUCAUUAGCUUGUGUGAACAACACCGUGUAGCUAUGUCUUGAUCGUUAGCUUGUGGAGCAAACCCAGUGAUAGCUCAAGAGUGAGCAUCUAUAUGAGAUAUGAGAUAGAGAUGGUCUCGAUCAUGUAUUGGCACUUUAUGUGCGAGAUUCUUGAGUAUCUAAUAUUAAUCCAAAUGGUUCAACAGGUAUAGUGGCAUUACGAGAGUAUAUGAGUUCGAUAUGAACCAAUACAAGUAUGUACGCGAAUCAUAUGGAAGUUGAAUCUAUGAGAUUUGUGAUUUCAUAAUUAACUUGUUGGUGGUUAUAUGUUAAGCUAAUGAAACUAAAUUGAAUUGCAUUAUGAUUUAAAUUACUUGCUUAAUUAUGGUUGAUUGGUAAGUUAUAUUUGCAGUUAUAUGAACUUAGUAAGCUUAAUUGCUUAUUUUGUUUAUUUUUCUGUGUUUUAUAGUGAUUCAGAAGUUCGCUCGUUUUGGAAGUUGUCGAAGAUUGUAUCACACUAUCGAACUCUUAUUUUGGUACUUUUGGACUUAAUGUAUUUUGGUUACAUGGCAUGUAUAAGUCAUUCGGCUAAUGAAAGCCUAUAUGGUUUGUUAUGUUUUAGCUAUUGAUGUGGCUUGACAAUGGUAUAUGUUUUGAUAUGUAAAUAGAUGUAAUUGGCCCUUAGAUAUAUGAUUUAUAAUUUCUAUGUGAUUGCCUCAUUUUGAAUUGCUAUGUAAGGUAGCAAAUGGUUGAAAUUGAGAAUGUAUACGCAUGCUAAGUUUUAGUUUAGAUAGUGCAUACAUGUAAUUGACUAUUUAAGUAGUUUUUUGAGGAAAUUUUGGCAUGUUUUAAAAUGAUCAUUUGAGAUGCCAAAGAACUUAGGAUUUUUGGUAAUGAAAUUGCAUGAUAUAGACUUAGUUGUGAUUGGUUUGAAUUCCUUUUGAUGAUAGGGUCAUAUACUAUCUGUUAUGUGCAGGAUGGUACCACAUUGGGUGAGAAAUAAGGCUUGGAAAAUGGCCUAUUUUUGUCCAUACAGGUAGAGACACGGGUGUGUGUCUCAGCCGUGUGUUACACACAGCCAGGUCACACAAGCAUGUGUCCCCUGAUACUUAGUUAGUAACNNNNNNNNNNNNNNNNNNNNNNNNNNNNNNNNNNNNNNNNNNNNNNNNNNNNNNNNNNNNNNNNNNNNNNNNNNNNNNNNNNNNNNNNNNNNNNNNNNNNNNNNNNNNNNNNNNNNNNNNNNNNNNNNNNNNNNNNNNNNNNNNNNNNNNNNNNNNNNNNNNNNNNNNNNNNNNNNNNNNNNNNNNNNNNNNNNNNNNNNNNNNNNNNNNNNNNNNNNNNNNNNNNNNNNNNNNNNNNNNNNNNNNNNNNNNNNNNNNNNNNNNNNNNNNNNNNNNNNNNNNNNNNNNNNNNNNNNNNNNNNNNNNNNNNNNNNNNNNNNNNNNNNNNNNNNNNNNNNNNNNNNNNNNNNNNNNNNNNNNNNNNNNNNNNNNNNNNNNNNNNNNNNNNNNNNNNNNNNNNNNNNNNNNNNNNNNNNNNNNNNNNNNNNNNNNNNNNNNNNNNNNNNNNNNNNNNNNNNNNNNNNNNNNNNNNNNNNNNNNNNNNNNNNNNNNNNNNNNNNUAUCUUGAGUUCAGAAACUUGGAAUCCAGUUCCGUAAAUUUUCCCUGAAACUAGACUCAUAUGCCCAUCUACAAAUUUUUCUCUAGAAUUUUUGGUUGGGCCAAUUAGUACAGUUUAUUAGUCAAAUUCUCCCAUUUUACAGGGAUCGACUACACUGAUCUUUGCGCAUUACGACUUGGAUAUCUCCCUGUACAGGGCUUCAAUACUGAUGCCGUUUGUGUCUAUAGAAACUAGACUCAAAGAGGAAUCUAUACAUAUAUGGCUUGACUCCUAAUUGUCUCUGGUUAAUUUAUAUUGAAUUUCCAAAGUCGGAAAAGGAAAUCCAGAAACCGUUUUGGCUCUGUCUCAGGAGAACCUGAAUAUCUCUUAACAUACUGUCCAUAUGAUCGUUUCGUUACUUUCCUAUGAAAAUAGAUUCAUCAAGGUUCGUUUACAUAAUUUAUUCACUAUUUAAUUCCAUUCCUACUAUUUUUAGUGAUUUUCCAAAUCUACAUCACUGCUGCUGUCAGCAUCUGCCUUUAAGGUAGACUUUACCUAUUUCAUGGUUUCCAUGAUUCAACUAGCCCUUUUUGCAUAAAUAGCACAAUUUAUGAUAGUGAUUAAUCAUUCCCAUGGCCAAUCCUUGUCAAGCAUAUCCACACCAAAUGAUUAUAACAUUAUACUCAAACACAUAUAAGCCAUUUUCGCAUGGCUAUCCAAAAUUAUACAAGUCCAAAGGGUCCAUGACCCACAACAAACGGGUAGUCCUAUACAUGCCAUUUCGAAGUUCAACCAAAAUUGUACCAAAAAGGGGGGGGCUUUGAUAGUGUGGGCGACUUUGACUUCAAAAUCCUGAGUCCGAUAGCUGGAGAACCAAAAUCUAUAAAACAGAGGAUCAAAGAAACGGAGUAAGCAAUUUAUGCUUAGUAAGUUUUGAGCAAGGAAUUCCAGCACAACAAAAGUAUAGCAUUCAUGUAGCUAAACGGAUAAUUUCAUAUGCACAAUUUUUCAAUAUCAUACUUGCUUCACAUUACCAAACCUUAUGUACAUACACAAAAGAUCAACUUAGCCAAAGGCCGAUAGCUCGUUUAUCAACUGAGCGAAUACUUAUUUGUAAGGGCUAAACUAAAUUCAAGCACAUACGAAACAUACCUCAAUGUUGGGAUGUUUCUAGAGUAUUUACUGAAAUUUUUACAGCAAGAUCAUUCAUUCCCAAAUCACGUACCUUCGGAAUUUAACCGGAUAUAGCUACUCGUUCAAAUGCCUUCGGGACAUAGCCCGGUUAUAGUAACUCGCACAAUUGCCUUUGGGACUUAACCCGGAUUUAGUAACUCGCACAAAUGCCUUCGGGCUUAGCCCGGAAUUAGUAUCUCGCACAAAUGCCUUCGGAUCUUAGUCCGGAUAUGGUCACUUAGCACAAAGCCUUCGGGACUUAGCCCGGACAUCAUUCAAAUAACCAUGCACAUUUAACAAUAAAUCAUGGCACAUUCGUAUUUCGUUCUCAAUAGCAAAACUCAAACACAAGACAUUUAUCAUUCUUGCAAUUUCGGCUCAAUAGCCACACAAAGAGCAUGAUUUUAAUUUGCUUAAAACAUGAUCUAAUCAAAUCAUAAUUUAAGCUCUUUUACUCAAGAACUUACCUCGGGUGUUGUCGAACGAUUCCGAUAGCUAUUCGACCACUUUUUCCUUCCCUUUAUCGGAUUUAGUUCCCCUUUGCUCUUGAGCUUAAUUAAACAAAUAAAUUGAUUUAAUCAUUUGAGCAUCGAAAAGAGGAACACAAGGCACUUAGCCCAUAUUUAUACAUUAGACAUUAAAGUCACAUAUGUACGGAAUCAUGAAUCAAACUCAACGUUUUAGCUAAUUUUCCCCCUUGGCCGAAUUUUCUAAGCCAAGACAAAAGCAUCAAUAUGCUUGCCUCUAACCGAAUACAUGCAACACCAAUCUUCUUCUUAUGGCCGAAUAUGCAUGUCUAUGUUGAGGCCGAUUAUAUACUUAAUACCACACAUAAAUGACAUACAUUUUACUAACUAAUGCAUUCCAUAUUAUACUCAAUACGCAUCCAUCAUUUAAUCCAUAACCGAAGCACCAUCAUGUGCAAUCAUAUAUAUAUAUGUGCAAGAGCCGAAUCCCAAAUUUUGAUUAUAACCAAAUUUAAACAUAUAUCCAAAACAUAAAUCUUACCUACCAUGCAAUAAGCAUAAAUCACACUCAUGGAUAUACCAUGGCCGAUACUUCCAACAACACCAAAUAAAAAUAUACUUCAUGGAUCUAAGGUAGAACCAAGAAAGAAACUCAUAAUCAUCAAGAUGUAAGUAACUACCAUUUUUCAUCUAGAUUUAGCAUGAAACACAACCAUCACCCUUAUUAAUCUCCAUAGCCGAAAACCUUACUUAUUCCAAAAAUUCAAAUCUCAACUUGGUCACGAAAAUAACUUGGUAUCUCACCGACACAACAUCAACACCAAGCAAGAAUGAUGCAUCCAUGGCCGAGUGUCAUUUCCAUCACAUAGCAAGAUUUAGACCAUGGGCUAGGUAGAACUCAAGCUAACAACUAAAACAUGCAUCCAUCUCAUGGAACAUCAUCAAACAUACCUUAGCCUAGUUACAUGAAUGGCCGAACCCCUUCAACCUUUCUUCUUCCUUCCUCCUUAAAUUUUUUUUUUGGCCAAAGAUGAACCAAAGGAUGAGCACUUUUUUUUUUGUUUUUCUUUCUAGUUUCGGCAAAAUGGGGGGGGGAGACAACCACACACUUUUUUUUUUGUUUCCAUCAUAUUCCCUUUCAUUAUUUUAUGCCCAUUCUCCUUAUUUUAUUUUUUUCCACCCAUGAUGCACCAACACAACAUGUCUAUGACAUGUCUUGCCCAUCACACUUGGUCUACCAUGCUUGUCAUGGCCGGCUACUACUAAUUAGGGGGGAAAUUUGACAUGCAAGUCCCCCCUUUUUAUUUCAUGCACUAAUAGGUCCUUAUGCUUCGACCUAUCACAUUUCAAAAAUGUCGCACAUAAGUCCUAUUGACUAAAUUCACAUGCAAUCGACUAAAUCGAAGCUUGAAAUUUUCACACAUUCAUAAUUACAUAUUCUAGACAAUAAAUAUCACAUUCAAACAUUUCGGUGACUCGGUUUAGCGGUCCCGAAACCACUUCCCGACUAGGGUCAAUUUUGGGCUGUCACAACUCUCCCCCACUUAAGAAAUUUUCGUCCCCGAAAAUCUUACCGGUAAAUAGGUUUGGGUAUCGUUCUUUCAUCGAGCUCUCGGUUUCCCAAGUAGCUUCCUCAAUCCCGUGUUUGAGCCAUAACACCUUAACUAACGGAACCCUUUUGUUUCGCAACUCUUUCACUCCACGAGCUAGGAUACGAAUCGGUUCUUCUUCAUAACUCAAGUCAGAUUGAAUUUCAACUUCUGAGGGAUUAAUCACAUGUGACGGAUCGGAUCUAUAACGUCGAAGCAUCGAAACAUGAAAGACAUCGUGAAUCUUUUGAAGUUCAGGCGGCAAAAUCAAUCUAUAUGCAACCGGACCAACUCGUUCGGAGAUUUCGUACGGCCCAAUGAAUCUCGGGCUCAACUUGCCCUUACGGCCAAAUCUGAGUACAUUUUUCCAAGGCGAAACUUUAAGAAACACUUUAUCUCCCACCUGAUAUUCAAUGUCUUUUCGUUUCAAAUCCGCAUACGAUUUUUGACGACCUGUGGCUGCUGUCAGACUUUUACGGAUUACCUUUACUUUCUGUUCAGCAUCCUUAAUCAAAUCAACUCCGAAAAUUUUACUUUCACCGAGAUCGGUCCAAAACAAUGGUGUACGGCAUUUACGACCGUACAAAGCCUCGUAAGGUGCCAUCUUAAUACUUGAUUGAAAACUAUUGUUGUAAGCGAAUUCAAUCAAAGGUAAAUACCGUUCCCAUGAACUACUGAACUCGAGGAUGCAACAUCUCAACAUAUCCUCAAGUAUCUGAAUUAUCCGCUCAGAUUGACCAUCGGUUUGGGGGUGAAAAGCAGUGCUAAAAUGCAGCUUGGUACCCAAAGCUUCUUGCAAUUUCCUCCAAAAUCGCGAGGUGAAUCUCGGAUCUCUAUCCGACACGAUAGAAAUAGGUACCCCGUGUAAUCUCACAAUCUGAGAAACAUACAAUUCGGCUAGUUUAUCCAAUGAAAAAUCCGUACGCACGGGGAUAAAGUGAGCCGACUUAGUCAGUCUAUCAACAACAACCCAAAUCGCAUCCUUCUUACUUGCUGACAAUGGCAGUCCGGACACAAAGUCCAUUGUGACUCGAUCCCAUUUCCACUCGGGUAUCAUGAUCGGCUGAAGUAAUCCUGAAGGCACUUGAUGUUCCGCUUUCACUUGUUGACAUAUUAAACAUCUCGAAACAAAGUCGGAGAUGUCUCGUUUCAUACCAUGCCACCAAAACCAACGUUUCAAAUCGUUGUACAUUUUCGUACUCCCCGGGUGAAUUGACAUUCGGCUACAAUGGGCUUCGUUCAGAAUCAUCGAAAUGAGUUCCGAAUUCCUUGGAACACACAAACGACUUCUGAACCUCAAACAAUCAUCAUUAUCAAUUUGAAACUCUGAUUCCUUGUUCGGAACACACUCAGCCCGUUUUGCAACCAAUUCAUCAUCAACUUUCUGGGCUUCACGAAUUUGAUGAAUCAAUAAUGGUUUGGCUUUUAAUUCAGCUACUAACACAUUGUCGGGUAGAAUAGACAAGUGCACAUUCAUCGCUCGUAAAGCAAACAAUGAUUUCCGGCUUAAGGCGUCCGCAACCACAUUAGCCUUUCCCGGGUGGUAAUCAAUGACAAGCUCGUAAUCUUUCAGCAACUCAAGCCAACGUCUUUGUCGCAGGAUUUAAGUCUCUUUAAGUCAUCAAAUAUUUGAGACUUUUGUGAUCCGAAAAUACAUGGCACUUUUCACCAAAUAAGUAAUGUCGCCAUAUUUUUAAAGCAAAUACGAUGGCAGCUAGUUCAAGAUCAUGGGUCGGAUAAUUUUUCUCAUGUGGCUUUAAUUGUCUCGACGCAUAGGCCACCACUCGACCUUCUUGCAUCAAUACGCAACCCAACCCAAGUAGUGAUGCGUCACUAUAAAUGACAAACUCUUUGCCUGAUUCGGGUUGCACUAAAAUUGGAGCUUCAGUCAAAUAAGUUUUUAGUUGAUCAAAACUUUUCUGACAUUUCUCCGUCCAUUCGAACUUAACAUCCUUUUGAAGUAGCUUCGUCAUUGGUGUGGCUAUCAUCGAGAAAACUUUGACAAAUCAUCGGUAAUAACCGGUGAGCCCCAGGAAGCUCUGAACUUUGGUAAUAUUUCUUGGAGGCUUCCAGUUAAGUAUGGCUGAAAUUUUGCUCGGGUCAACUCGAAUACCUGAUGCGGAUACCACAUGACCCAAGAAGCUAACCUCUCUUAACCAGAACUCACACUUACUGAACUUAGCAUAUAACUGCUUAUCCCGCAAAAUUUGCAACACUAGUCUCAGGUGCUCAGCAUGUUCGGUCUCAUCUCUUGAAUAGACCAAGAUGUCAUCAAUGAACACAACUACGAACCGAUCCAAAUAUGGUCUGAAGACCCGAUUCAUCAAAUCCAUAAAUACCGCAGGGGCAUUAGUGAGCCCAAACGGCAUCACUAAGAAUUCGUAGUGACCAUAUCUCGUUCUGAAGGCAGUUUUUGGUAUGUCCGAAUCUCGAAUUCGCAACUGAUAAUAGCCCGAUCUCAAAUCUAUUUUUGAGAACACUGAGGCUCCCUUCAGUUGGUCGAACAAAUAUUCGAUACGCAGUAACGGAUAUUUGUUCUUUAUCGUCACUUUAUUCAGUUGACGAUAGUCAAUGCACAACCUCAUGGUUCCGUCCUUCUUUUUCACAAACAAUACUGGUGCACCCCAAGGUGAGAAACUUGGUCGAGCAAAACCUCUAUCCGUCAAUUCUUGCAACUAAGCUUUCAACUCUUUUAACUCGGUUGGUGCCAUACGAUACGGAGCCAUCGAAAUCGGCGUAGUCCCAGGUACAAGCUCAAUACCAAACUCUAUCUCCCGAACAGGUGGUAAACCCGGUAAUUCUUCAGGAAAAACAUCCGGGUAUUCACAAACCACCGGCACAGAUUCGGGUUUCUUUUCUAAUUCUUUGUCAUCAAGUACAUACGCAAGGUAUGCUUCGCACCCUUUUCUUACAUAUUUCUGGGCCAACAUUGAGGAUAUUACAGCUGGCAACCCAUCCAAGUCCGUAGACUCAACUCGGAUUACUUCGUUAUUUGCGCACCUCAAUUCAAUAGUCUUGCUUUUGCAAUUCACAACCGCAUCAUGCACGGUCAACCAAUCCAACCCGAGAAUAACGUCAAAUUCAUCAAAUGGCAAAAGCAUCAAGUCCGCCGGAAAACAGGAACCUCGAAUUACUAGGGGACAUUCCUUACACACUUUGUCGACAAGCACGUAACGACCCAAGGGAUUUGACACCCGAAUUACGAACUCAGUAGACUCAAUAGGUAAAGUCUUACUGGAUGCUAAGGUUUCACAUAUGUAAGAAUGAGUAGAACCGGGGUCAAUCAAAGCAAUUACAUUAGUAUCAAAGAGAGUAAAAGUACCGGUAAUAACAUCAGGCGAAGAAACAUCCUCGCGGGCACGUAUAGCAUAAGCUCUAGCAGGCGCAUGAGCCUCGGAUCCGGUCGUAGCAUCUCUAGAUCCUCUCUGACCACCACUAGCAUUGCCCGUAUUUCCAGAUGGUCUACCUCGAGCAGUGGUAGCACCCGGUUUCCCACUCUGAUUUACAUUCUGUUCAGACAACCUCGGGCAAUCUUUAAUGAAGUGGUCAACUGAUCCGCACUUGUAACAGGAGCGGUCAGGGAAUCUACAACUCCCCGAAUGCCAUUUACCGCAAUAUCGACAUUUCGUUCUGUCUCGACGUUCAUUCCCAACACUGGCGACCGAAGUGCCUCGUGUACCCACAGGGGGUCGAUCACGAUCUCGUCUAAAAAGGCCCGAAGUGCCUCUAGACCGGCCCACAUCAUCUCGAAAUUUCUUCGAUGCCUGUUGAAGAGACUUUCCCGAGGAUCUUUUACGAAACUCUCCGGUUCCCACAUCAACCUUUUGUUUUUCUUUUCUAAGCUCUUCGGCUUUACAAGCUCGCUCGACAAGUACUACGAACUCUCAUAUUUCAAGAACGCCAACGAAUAUUUUUAUAUCUUUAUUCAGCCCAUCCUCGAAGCGUUUACACAUGAUAGCCUCGGACGAAACACAUUCCCGAGCGUAUUUGCUAAGUCUAACAAAUUUUCGCUCGUAAUCAGUAACCGACAUGGAACCUUGAUUAAGCUCAAGAAAUUCCUUCCGUUUUUGAUCAACAAAUCUCUGACUGAUAUACUUUUUCCGAAACUCAGUUUGGAAAAACUCCCAAGUUACUUGCUCUCGGGGUACAACAGAAGUCAGAGUACUCCACCAAUAGUAGGAAGAAUCACGUAGCAAGGAGAUAGUACACUUUAGGCAUUCAUCGGGUGUACAAGAUAGCUCAUCGAGUACCCGAAUAGUGUUGUCUAACCAAAAUUCAGCUUUCUCGGCAUCGUCGCUAUCCGUAGCUUUAAAUUCAGUAGCCCCAUGUUUUCGGAUUCUGUCAACUGGGGGCUUAUUUGACCUUAUUUGGUCAGUUACCAGAGGUAUUGUAGGUGCGGGGUUGGUAUUUGUCGAGAAUGGAGGUUGUGGAAUAGCCGUAUUAGUUCGAAUGUAUUGGUUGAACCAAUCAUUCAUCACGCUAUAGAAAGCUUGUCUAGCUUCAUCAUUCGGGUUACUAGCAUUAGGUUGAGAGUCCACCGGUGCUGUCUUUGGUGCGGGAGCAGGCGCUACACUCUCAAGAUCAUCAGCUACCACUCGGUCGGGAUCGGGAUCCAUUACUAUAAAUAAACACAUUUGCAAAUGUCAGAAAUCACCACACUAUCAAAUAAUCACAUAAAAUGGCAUGUAUAGCUAGACCCAACGCAUUACGGUAGUCCUAGAAUGGACUAAACCGUAGCUCUGAUACCAAUCAAAUGUAACACCCCGAACCCGAGUCCGUCGCCGGAGUCGGACACGAGGGGUUUACAGACUUAAGUCACUUCUUUGCACAAUCCAUUUUAAAAUUUUCCAGGCAAGCUGGCUAACUGCGUCACUGUCACCUUAAAAAUCAUAUCUUGAGUUCAAAAACUUGGAAUCCAGUUCCGUAAAUUUUUCCUGAAACUAGACUCAUAUGCCCAUCUAAAAUAUUUUUUCUAGAAUUUUUGGUUGGGCCAAUUAGUACAGUUUAUUAGUCAAAGUCUCCCAUGUUACAGGGAUCGACUACACUGAUCUUUACACAUUACGACUUGGAUAUAUCCCUGUACAGGGCUUCAAUACUGAUACCGUUUGUUUCUAUAGAAACUAGACUCAGAGAGGAAUCUAUACAUAUAUGGCUUGACUCCUAAUUGUCUCUGGUUAAUUUAUAUUGAAUUUCCAAAGUCGGAAAAGGAAAUCCAGAAACCGUUCUGUCCCUGUCUCACAAGAACCUGAAUAUCUCUUAACAUACUGUCCGUAUGAUUGUUUCGUUACUUUAAUAUGAAAAUAGAUUCAUCAAGGUUCGUUUACAUAAUUUAUUCACUAUUUAAUUCCAUUCCUACUAUUUUUAGUGAUUUUCCAAAUCUACAUCACUGCUGCUGUCAGCAUCUGCCUUUAAGGUAGACUUUACCUAUUUCAUGGUUUCCAUGAUUCAACUAGCCCUUUUUGCAUAAAUAGCACAAUUUAUGAUAGUGAUUAACCAUUCCCAUGGCCAAUCCUUGUCAAGCAUAUCCACACCAAAUGAUUAUAACAUUAUACUCAAACACAUAUAAGCCAUUUUCGCAUGGCUAUCCAAAAUUAUACAAGUCCAAAGGGUCCAUGACCCACAACAAACGGGUAGUCCUAUACAUGCCAUUUCGAAGUUCAACCGAAAUUGUACCAAAAAGGGGGGGGCUUUGAUAGUGUGGGCGACUUCGACUUCAAAAUCCCGAGUCCGAUAGCUGGAGAACCAAAAUCUAUAAAACAGAGGAUCAAAGAAACGGAGUAAGCAAUUUAUGCUUAGUAAGUUUUGAGCAAGGAAUUCCAGCACAACAAAAGUAUAGCAUUCAUGUAGCUAAACGGAUAAUUUCAUAUGCACAAUUUUUCAAUAUCAUACUUGCUUCACAUUACCAACCCUUAUGUACAUACACAAAAGAUCAACUUAGCCAAAGGCCGGUAGCUCAUUUAUCAACUGAGCGAAUACUUAUUUGUAAGGGCUCAACUAAAUUCAAGCACAUACGAAACAUACCUCAAUGUUGGGAUGUUUCUAGAGUAUUUACUGAAAUUUUUACAGCAAGAUCAUUCAUUCCCAAAUCACGUACCUUCGGAAUUUAACCGGAUAUAGCUACUCGUUCAAAUGCCUUCGGGACAUAGCCCGGUUAUAGUAACUCGCACAAUUGCCUUCGGGACUUAACCAGGAUUUAGUAACUCGCACAAAUGCCUUCGGGCUUAGCCCGGAAUUAGUAUCUCGCACAAAUGCCUUCGGAUCUUAGUCUGGAUAUGGUCACUUAGCACAAAGCCUUCGGGACUUAGCCCGGACAUCAUUCAAAUAACCAUGCACAUUUAACAAUAAAUCAUGGCACAUUCGUAUUUCGUUCUCGUUAGCAAAACUCAAACACAAGACAUUUAUCAUUCUUGCAAUUUCGGCUCAAUAGCCACACAAAGAGCAUGAUUUUAAUUUGCUUAAAACAUGAUCUAAUCAAAUCAUAAUUUAAGCUCUUUUACUCAAGAACUUACCUCGGGUGUUGUCGAACGAUUCCGAUAGCUAUUCGACCACUUUUUCCUUCCCUUUAUCGGAUUUAGUUCCCCUUUGCUCUUGAGCUUAAUUAAACAAAUAAAUUGAUUUAAUCAUUUGAGCAUCGAAAAGAGGAACACAAGGCACUUAGCCCAUAUUUAUACAUUAGACAUUAAAGUCACAUAUGUACGGAAUCAUGAAUCAAACUCAACGUUUUAGCUAAUUUUCCCCCUUGGCCGAAUUUUCUAAGCCAAGACAAAAGCAUCAAUAUGCUUGCCUCUAACCGAAUACAUGCAACACCAAUCUUCUUCUUAUGGCCGAAUAUGCAUGUCUAUGUUGAGGCCGAUUAUAUACUUAAUACCACACAUAAAUGACAUACAUUUUACUAACUAAUGCAUUCCAUAUUAUACUCAAUACGCAUCCAUCAUUUAAUCCAUAACCGAAGCACCAUCAUGUGCAAUCAUAUAUAUAUAUGUGCAAGAGCCGAAUCCCAAAUUUUGAUUAUAACCAAAUUUAAACAUAUAUCCAAAACAUAAAUCUUACCUACCAUGCAAUAAGCAUAAAUCACACUCAUGGAUAUACCAUGGCCGAUACUUCCAACAACACCAAAUAAAAAUAUACUUCAUGGAUCUAAGGUAGAACCAAGAAAGAAACUCAUAAUCAUCAAGAUGUAAGUAACUACCAUUUUUCAUCUAGAUUUAGCAUGAAACACAACCAUCACCCUUAUUAAUCUCCAUAGCCGAAAACCUUACUUAUUCCAAAAAUUCAAAUCUCAACUUGGUCACGAAAAUAACUUGGUAUCUCACCGACACAACAUCAACACCAAGCAAGAAUGAUGCAUCCAUGGCCGAGUGUCAUUUCCAUCACAUAGCAAGAUUUAGACCAUGGGCUAGGUAGAACUCAAGCUAACAACUAAAACAUGCAUGCAUCUCAUGGAACAUCAUCAAACAUACCUUAGCCUAGUUACAUGCAUGGCCGAACCCCUUCAACCUUUCUUCUUCCUUCCUCCUUAAAUUUUUUUUUUGGCCAAAGAUGAACCAAAGGAUGAGCACUUUUUUUUUGUUUUUCUUUCUAGUUUCGGCAAAAUGGGGGGGGGGAGACAACCACACACUUUUUUUUUGUUUCCAUCAUAUUCCCUUUCAUUAUUUUAUGCCCAUUCUCCUUAUUUUAUUUUUUUCCACCCAUGAUGCACCAACACAACAUGUCUAUGACAUGUCUUGCCCAUCACACUUGGUCUACCAUGCUUGUCAUGGCCGGCCACUACUAAUUAGGGGGGAAAUUUGACAUGCAAGUCCCCCAUUUUUAUUUCAUGCACUAAUAGGUCCUUAUGCUUCGACCUAUCACAUUUCUAAAAUGUCGCACAUAAGUCCUUUUGACUAAAUUCACAUGCAAUCAACUAAAUCGAAGCUUGAAAUUUUCACACAUUCAUAAUUACAUAUUCUAGACAAUAAAUAUCACAUUCAAACAUUUCGGUGACUCGGUUUAGCGGUCCCGAAACCACUUCCCGACUAGGGUCAAUUUUGGGCUGUCACAUCGGCUAUUGAUUUGGUGAUUAAGGUAUGGUUUUUGAUCAGUUUUUUAUAAUUUCUACGUUUUUGUGAUUGUUGCUUAGAGUUCUAUCAAGCCCAUGUCUCAAUUUCUGAUUUUGAUGAUGAUUUUUAAAUAUGCCAUUGAUGAAAUUAUAAGCUUUGUGAAGUUAGUUGUUAGUAAAUGAAAGACAUGCUUUGGGUUAACAUAUUUUGUACUUGAAUAUUUGAUGAAUUUGAGUAAUUUGGACUAAAUUAUGAAAUUUGUAGAUUGAGGGACUAAAAUGUAAAAUAAAUGAAACAUAUGGGCUUAUGUGAACACAAUGAGAAUUCGGCCCAACAUGGGUAUAUGCAAAUUUUUUGUAUUUUGUGAUUUUUGUGAAAUAGGGACUAAAUUGUCAAAAUAUGAAAAUAUAAAGGCUAAUUUGUAAAAUGCCAUAAAUGUGUGUUUGUGGAUUGAUUUGAAUGAUUUGGUAAAUAAAAGAAUUAAAUUUGAAUUUAUAUAGAUCAAGAAUUAAAAAAAAUGGAAUUAGAUCGGGGAAAGUCAAAAGUCAUCGAGUAGCCGAUUUCGUCUUUCCGAAUCCGUACGAGGUAAGUCUAUAUACAAAUAAAUGUAUUUUAAAUGGUUUAUUUAUGCUUAUAUGUUAUUGAACAAUGAUGAAUGGCUUUAUGCUUUGAAUAUGAGACAUCUAAGAAAGUAUCGACAAAGUUUCGACGUCUAAAAAGCCUCGUACGAACCUUAGGAAUAGUUAGGAUACAUAUGUCAUGACAUAGGAUCCGAUAUGUGUUAUCAUGUAAGACCAUGCCUGGGACGUUGGCAUCGUACUUGAUUUCGUGUAAAACCCUGUCUGGGAUAGUGGCAUCGAUAUUUGAUUACUUGUAAGACCACAUCUGGGACGUUGGCAUCGUACGAGCUUUCCGAGUUAUCCGCCUAUCCUUAUGAUUUCAAGCGGUUCAAUAGGCAUUCCGAGAAAUGAAUGAUAAUAUGAAAUGUGUAUCUGAUUCAGGUACGUUGGAACUUGUAUAUCAUAUUUGAUGUUGAAAGGUAAGUAUAUGUAUCUUUAUGAUCAAGUGAUUAUAUGUGACAAAAGUAUAUGAAAAUAUGCAUUAUGUGCAAAUGAAUGGAGAAUAUGUGAAAUGUAUUUGAGCUAUGUGUUUUGUGAUAGCAUGUGGUUAAAGAUUAUAUGUAUAUUAUGAUGCUCAUAUGUUUGUAUUGUUAAUUUUAUUUGUAUAUAGCUUACUAAGCUUUUGAAAGCUUACUUUGUAUGUGUUUGCUUUGUUUUACAGAUAUCGUAACUAUUGAGAGCUCGGGGAUCGUCGAGGAUCGUCACCACACUAUCGAACUAUAUUUUGGUACCUUUUGAAAAUGUAUAUAUUGAAGUAUGGCAUGUAUAGGCUAGAGGUAUGUUUUGUGAACUGUAUAUUUAGCCAUAUGAAAUGGCUUAAUUAUGGUUAAAUUUAUGGUUUGAUUUUGGUAUAUGAUAUAUGAUGCAAUAGUGGUAUGUUUGAUGUGUUCAUGAUUGGCCAAAGAAAUUGGUCAAAUUGGUAAGUUUUUGAAUUGUGCUUAUUUGAAAAAAAAAUAAGAUUAUGGCAUGAGAGAGAAUAAUGUAUAUUACAGUUAUAAAUCAUAUGUUUUGGUAUGUAUUUGGCUUAUGGAAUGAUAUGAUUUGGUAUGUGCUUCAAUCAUGAAAUAUGUGGAUAAUGAGUUGGUAUAAAUGGUGUAUGUUUUGGUUGUGAAAUGGUUGAAAUUUGAUGUGCAAUUUGUGCCUAUAUUAUGAUUGUAGGGAGGACCCUUAUGAGUGGCAAGUUGGCCUUAUAAAUGGCAUAUUUUUGCCCACACGGGCAGGGACACAGGCGUGUAUCUCAGCCGUGUUGCUCGAGGGCCAUCUCAAAAUGAGUCUGAGCAGACCACACGGUCGCACACAUGGGCGUGUGCUAGGCCGUGUGUCCAAGUUAGUUUCGACCACGAGCUAGACACACGGGCGUGUGACUGGUUGUAUAAUUCAAGCCAGUAGCCUCCCUAAUUUUCACAUGGCCUGGCACACGGGCAUGUAUUGUGGCUGUGUGGACAAGUCAGUAUUUUUGCCCUAUUUUGACAUGGCCUAGACACACGGGCGUGUCUAGUCGUGUGAGGCACACGGCCUGUUCACACGGGCGUGUGACCUGUACAACUUUGAAAAUAACGUUUAAGUUUUGAAAAAUUUUGUAUGAGCUUAGUCUAGUCCCGGCCCCUUCCUAAAGCGUGAUUAAGGUCUUGAUGACUUAUAUAAGGGACUCUAAAAUAAUGUUUGACUAUGUUUGUGGAUGAAGUUAUUGAAUUGUUCAUAAAAUGUUUCGAUUUGUCUGGUAAUGCCUUUAACCCUUGUCUGGCGACGGAUACGGGUUAGGGGUGUUACAUGAAACAUGAGCAAAAUGAUUGUAAGUUUCCAAGAACUUAGUUAGUUUGAAUAAAAAAUACCUUGAAGCCUUUCUAGUUGAAAUCUUCAUUAUGAAUAUUCAAAUUAUUGAUCUUUCUUUGGCGGACACCUUCAAAACAUCGAAUAUAUAUUCUUAUACGCCACUAAAUAUACUUAACGUGUCACUCUCACUUUACUACUUGGCUGACUCUAAGUCUUACCAGAUAAAAUCUACAUCUUUUCUUCUCCUAGAACAAUCGAUGGUGAUUCUUCAAAGAAUAUCUACAUAGAGCCUAUUUUCUGCAGAUCUUCUCUUUGAACAACAUUUAACAUUUUUCUCCAAAAUGGUUUUCGUAGAUACUAUUCCUUGGGAGAUACAUACGAAUUGAUCUUACACUGGAUGGAUUUCCAUACUAAGUUUGAUAACUGUCAGACUACCAUUCAGACCAUAUCCUGAACCUAAACCCAAAUCAAACGUAAGUUGAUGAUGAAAUAUUCUAGAUCAUUUGGAAGAAUUUCAAACUCCUUUGUUGCAUGACACAAUAAUGCCCAAACUGACAAACGAUUCAUAUUCCAAAAACCUCAAAUUCAGAUAUAAUACUGUUUAGAUAUGGUAGAUACUAGAUAACACGGAUUUCAACCUUACUUAGCGUAGACAAACUCAAAUCAAUGAAUACUUAUACCUUUCAUAACUAAUAAAAUGCCUGUAUCCCAUACUGAUGAACUUCUUUGGCGGAUUCUCUCUUUAGAAAUACUGAUAUAUACUUUCAUUGUAAAACCGUCCCUUAAGACUUCUUCUACUUCAUCAUAAAAUUAACCGGCAAAGUUAACUUUAGAAUGUCUCAAGUCAUUAUCAUAGAAUCAUCUAUCAAAGAGAUCUCAUAAAUUACCAUUAGGGUGGAUAACCAGAUUUUACCACGUAGGCAUUCUCAAAUACACCACAUAGGCAUUUCGUAAUUUGCCACAAAGGCAAUACAAAUUACAUCUCUAAACCUUAGUAGAUCACACUACAUAGGUAACACAUAGAAUCAGAUGUUUUCUAUCUGAGUAGACUUUCAAAGAAGGUGUCAUGUGUAACACCCCUUACCCGUGUUUGACACCGGAACAGGGUAUAAGGUAUUACCGGAUAUAAACACAUGCAAUCGUAUAAAACUGGGUCAUGAAUUUGCGUUCAAAUUUAAAAAAUUUCACAUUUCAUCUUAGAGUCCCUAAUAUGGGCCUACGAAGCCCAAAUCAUGCUUUGGAAACGGUUCGGGACCAAACUGAGAACUUUAGAAAACUUUAAAAAAUUUCAUGAAAAACAGGGGCACACUCCCGUGUGAUAUUAGGACACGACCGUGUGGCUCGCAUGGCCAUGUCCCUAGGUCGUGCACUAAUAUGGCUUGUCGUUGCAAAAAAAUUUACGUCACACAUAGAUAUCACCACUCAUUCAUCCUCAUAUGUAAGCAUACACAUCCUUGAAAUGCAUCAUCAUAGACUUAUAAUAUAGCCUAUAUACCAACAUCAAAUGGCCUUACACAACAAUGAACUUUCAAAUAGCAUAGGCCAACAUUUUAGGCCAAAAGAAUUAUGACAAAUACAUAAAUAACCAAGUCCCCUAUACAUGCCAUGACCUUAAGUAUAAGAAUUAUCAAUACCCAAUUUGUUAGUUUGAUAGUGUGAUAGGUUCUUUGGUGACUUCCAACCCGAGCUAACCUAAGGUCAUUAUAAACACAGAAAAUAAAUAGAGUAAGCUAUAUAGCUUAGUAAGUUGGUAUGUAAAUAAUAACAAAUUUAUUAUCAUGCUUUUACCAAUUCUCACAAUAUGUUCUCAAGAUCAUACAAUCAUAAUUGCACAUAGCUCCACUAUUUACUCUUGUUCAUCUCAAGCUUUCUACUCAAGUCACAGCCACUAAAUUAUUUAUAUCUUCAGCUAUGGAACUCAAAAUUAAGAUCCACUAAUUUUCCCUAAAACUAGACUCACAUAUCUUCUUAGCGUAAAAUUUUUAGAAUUUUUGGUCUAGCCAAUAAGUACAGUUUAUUCUUUAAAAUCUCCCCUAUUCUACUGUUUGACAGUUCCAACCCUUCUUCACUAAAACUUAAUUAUCUCAUCAUAUGGGAUUCAUAUGAUGUUCAUGUUUGUUUCUAUUGAAAAUAGACUCAAUAAUAAUUAAAAAAUCUAAACUCUAACUAAUAAUCAUUUUUAUAAAAUGUUUAAUUAUUUUCCAAAGUCAGAACAGGGGAUUUCAAAAUCAUUCUGACCCUGUCUAACAAAAAUUCAAAUAUCUCGUAAUAUUAAAUUCUUUUUUACACCGUUUCUUUUAUGUGAAAAUAUACUCAAUAAGAUUUAAUUUCAUAUCUUAUUCAACCUCUAAUUUGGUUUCCACCAUUUUUGAUGAUUUUUCAAAGUCACACAACUGCUGCUGUCCAAAACUAUUUUAUUGCUAAUUUUAGUCUCUCACGUUUUCUUUAUAUUAACUUUCAUUCAACAUUCACAUAGAUUUCGUAUGUACCUGUAUCACUUAAAUCAGUUAUACUUUCAUUUUUUUUAUCUUGGCUAUGUCGGUUGAUACACUUAAACCUCAAUGAAAACACAUUAUUUCAAUUCAACAUUAAAUAAUAUUAUUGGUUCAUAAUUCUUUCACAUUUAAUCAUCACAUAGUCAUAUUCGUUUACGCUUAGUCAUUUCGCGUUGAACACAUCGGAAUAAUAACGGAUACACAGUGGCCUUCACAUAGUACCACCCUUGUAGCCAAAGCUAUUUUAUUCACAAAGUGGCCUUCACAUAGUACUACAUUUGUGUCCAAAGCUAUUUUAUUAACAAAAUGGCCUUCACAUAGUACCACACUUGUGUCCAAAGCUAUUAUAUUCACAAAGUGGCCUUCACAUAGUACCACACUUGUGUCUAAAGCUAUUUUAUUCCUCAGGUUCAACCGAAAAAAUUCUCGCUUAGCACAAUGCCAUGGACUUAUUUCACUUAGCACAUUACCAUUGACUUAUUUCACCUAGAUGCCAUGGUCUUAUUUCACAUAGCACAAUGUCAUAUCCAUAUAUGAUCUUACAUGUGAAUCACUUAUUUUACUUAGCACAUUGCCAUGGUCUAACCAUGGUCAUUUACCGUCAAUUCAUAUUUCACUACGCAACGAUCGUGAUCUAUCCUGCGUUUUUACUCAAUUCGAACAUUUACUUUAAUUUUCACAAUUUAAUCAAAUAUAUAAUAAUAUUGCAUAAUUAACACAAAUCAAUAACGUUUAUUAACAUACGAACUUAGCUCGACCUAAAAUGGCGAAAAGGACCAAAUCAUUCAAUACUCAUUUUUCCCUUGUUCUAAGUCCGAACUUCAUUUUUUUAUCAAUAAUAUCACAUUCGACUUAUUAAAUUAUUAUACUAUUCAAAUCAGUCCAAAAAUCAUAUUAUGGUAAAAUUAUAUUUUUGCCCCUAAAGUUUCACAUAUUUACAAAUUUUCCUCUAGGCUCAUAAAAUGAAAUGUAAUCAUUUUUCUCAAUACCCAAGCCUAGCCGAUUCAUAUUCCCUUUAUAGCAGCCUACAUUUUUCACUAAAUCACAUUUCCUACACAUAUUUUACAACUUUUAUAAAUAGGUCUUUUUAUGAAAUUUCAUCAAAAAUCACUUAGUAAAAGUUGUUUAUCACACUCCAAACUUUCAUAUUUUUCCAUAAAACAUCAAAACACAUGUAUGUCAUCAAUAGGUAAAUUUUAAACACAAACCCUAUCUCAAAAUAAUGGUAGAAAUAGCUAAACCGAGUUACGAGGAUCUCAAAAAUGUAAAAAUCAUUAAAAACGGGGCUAGAACAGAGUUACAUCGAGCUUGGAAGCUUGAAAAACCCUAGCCAUGGUUUCCCCUUGUGAAAUUAGGCCAUGGGGUUGAAGACGGACAAAAAUUGGUUUUUAAUAUUUUUUUAAUUCAUUUAAUUACUGAAUGACCAAAAUGCCUCUAACUUAAAAAUAUUAUAUUUCACCUAUUUCAUGUCCAUUUUUGUCCAAAAAAUUAACCAAUGGUAUAAUUACCAUUUAAGGACCUCCAAUUUAAAAUUUCAUAACAACUGGACACCUCUAACAUGUAGAACUCAACUUUUACACUUUUUACAAUUUAGUCCUUUUAACUAAAUUGAGUGCCCAAACGUCGAAAUUUUUGAACUAAAUUUUCACAAAAUCAUUCCAUGAAACCUUAGACCAUAAAAAUAUAAUAAAAAUAAGUUUUUUUCCUCGUCGAAUUUGUGGUCCCGAAACCAUUAUUUCGACUAGGCCCAAAAUCGGGCUAUUACAUCAUGGGUUUCUCCCACAUGACUUAUACAUUUUCGCAUAUCAUGACCUGCCAUUCUAGUCUACAUACUACUAAAGGAAUCACCAUGCGUAUUUUUAUAGUCAUACAAUACGAUGGGUCUUCGCCACAUAGCCCCAUACAUACUUUCAUGUUGUGAUCUAUACGUCCAAUCUACAUUUCUUUGAAGGCAUCACCAUGAAUGUUGUCUUGCAGCGUGAUCUGUCUGUCUGGUUAGCAAUAUUUCCUCCUUACUAGAUGCAUAACAAAUGGAUAUUGGUUUAUCCCACAUAUAUUACACUACCCAAUUCAUUUUCUUACCUAAUUUGUUCAUAUUCUCUUAAUAAAAUUCAUCUUAAUCUACCAAUUUCAUUUACGACUAUAUCUCAUAGCAUUUUGAUCAUACAUAUGUAUUUUUAUAACUAAAGUGAACAUGCAGUAUAAUUAUUUUGAUUCAUAUAAAUACUAGUUGUCCUAGAUAUUUUCUUCAUAUGUAUUUUAAAUUGAGCAUCCCACAGAUAAGAGUCAAGAUACAGAUUCACCUUAAACUCAUCAGGAUUGCAGCUUGGAGUUCCAAAACUCAAACAUCCCUUUUGAACUAGCAACAACAACUGUAAAACCCAACUAGCACAGUACUUAAGCAAACUAGGCGUACUAUACAUUUGGUAGUAACUCUUACCAGACUUACUCUUUGCUUGACACAUUAUUUUCUUAAAUAGUAGGAUAACUUGAGAUAGAAGCUUUAAUUACUUAAACGAUGGGUAUCUUUAAUUACUUACACGACGGGUACAUUAAUCCAAAUUCUUAUUUGCCAAAAAACUUUAAAUAGGCAGACUAUUCUAUGCCAAUCAGGCAUCUUCACAUCUACACGCCUUCAAAUCGAGUCUAUCAGAUUUGGGGUGUGACAUAUUUAAUUGGAAAAUUAAUUAAUUAAAAUUAAUUUAAUAAAAUAUUUAUUUUAGAAACGUGUAUUGGGUUGGAUUAAAUUAUACAGUGUUGGAUUAAAAGUCUAUGAAGCACAUAUAAUUGGACUCCAUAUAAGAGAGGCCCAAAACUCCUUUCAAUAAGUAUGAGGGGCGACAACCCUAGUAUAAUUAACUAGUUCUAGUCACCCCUCUCUCUUAAUUAAACUAGGAGACCGGAUUUUAUAUUAAAUAAGUAUUUUUUGUAUUCUACUGAAUCAACUAAGGUUCCUCUAUCUCUCCCUAUAAAUAGAUGAAAUUGGUAAAGAUAAUGUUAAAUAUGACUCCUAUUUUCAGUCAAAUUUGAGAAAUGAUCUUUUAGUUAAACUCUAUUUAUUUGUUUCAAUCAAACACUGAUUAGUUUAGAUUAUUUUAUUAUUACUUGACCUAUGAAUUUAGCCUAUAAAUAGGCUCUUUUACAACCUUAGAAAAUACACCCAUUAGAUAUUAGAACUCAUAAUACAUUUAGAGAAUUUUGUGUUUAUGUUUUGAGGGUUCUUUGUUUUCAGGUUUUCGAGGUUUAGUUUUAUCUCCAUCUUUUAUACUCUUCAUUCUUUUACCAUUAUAGUAAAAUUAUCUUUGCCCGUGGUUUUUUAUCCUCUUUGGAGGGGUUUUUCCAUAUUAAAUUUGUGUGUUCGAUUUCUCAAUUUAUUUCACUAUUUUUUUACUUGUUACUUAAUCGGGUCGAUCCUAACAAGUGGCAUCAGAGCUAGUUCAAUUUUCAUAGAUUAGUCCAUUCAGAUAUGACAUCAACAAGGUUUGAAAUUGAGAAGUUCAAUGGUGAGACAAAUUUCAAUCUGUGGCAAGUUCGGAUGAUGGCAAUUCUAGUUCAAACCAGCUUGAAAAAGGUUGUUACUGAGAAAAAGCCUGAGAAUCUAAAUCAAACAGAAUGGGAAGAGCUUGAUGAAAAGGCUUUGUCUGCAAUCCACUUGUGCCUUACGAAUACGGUAUUGCAACAGGUAUUUAUGGAGAAAACCUCAUCCGCAUUGUGGAAAAGGUUAGAAACUCUUUAUGCGACUAAGUCUUUGGCUAACCGUUUAGUUUUGAAACACGUCUAUUUACGUUUCACAUGAAUGAAGGUAAGCUUCUUAAAGAUCACAUCAAUCAAUUCAUUACUCUUUUAAACGAUUUAAAGAAUGUUGAGGUUUAUAUUAACAAUAAAGAUCAGGUUAUGCUAUUAUUGUGCUCUUUACCCUCUUCAUACAAGUCUUUCAGGGAGACCCUGAUUUAUGGCAGAGAGAAACUCUCGUUCGAAUAUGUGAAGGGUCAUUUGUUGAGUAGAGACAAACUCGACAAUGAGUUUCAUUUGGAUAGCAAGAAAGAUAGGCAAGCUUCCGUUUUGGUAGCAUUAAAGAAACGAGACAAAAGGAGUUGCUAUUGUAAAAAGUUAGGUCAGGUCGAAGCAAAUUGUUAUAAACUGUGAAAUAAAAGAGCUGUUGAGAGUGACGAGGAAGAUGUAGCUAGUGCUUAUUUGGCCGAUGAAAAAGAUGAUGAUUUCUUGUUAGUGUCAACAAGUGAUAACUUCAAGCUCACGUCCGAGUGGAUCUUAGAUUUGGGAUGUUCUUUCCACAUGUGUCACAAUAGAGAAUGGUUCUCCACAUACAGUUUGGUUGAAGGUGGAGUUGUGCGUAUGGGAAACGAUACAUCUAGUAAGGUAAUUGGUAUUGGUACUGUUAAAAUUAGGAUACACGAUGGGAUGAUUAUGACACUCUCAAAUGUCAGGUAUGUACCUGAUUUACGAAAGAAUCUCAUCUCAUUGAGUAUUUUAGACUUGAAAGGAUGCAGAAUCAACAUCAAGUCGAGUGGUAUUAAUGUAUCUCGUGGAGCUCUCGUUUUGUUAAAAGGUAAAAUAAUCGGCAGUCUUUAUAUUCUAGAAGGUUCUAUAGUGACCGGUGAAAUCGGACGUCCCUCGUCCAUUAUGGAGUCGAAUUCAACUUGUUUGGAGUAGAGGUAACUUGGUCAUAGUAGGGAAAAAGGUAUGACUGUUUCACUGAAGAGAGGUUCUCUUUUGGAUGCAGGUUUUGAAAAGUUUGUGCACUGUGUUCAUGAAAAUCUGACUCGGGUUAGUUUUGAUUUGGUAGUGUACAAGUCGAAAGAAGUCUUCCAGUUUCUAAGCAAAAAUUCAACUCAGUUUACUCCUUGCAUAGUUCAAGAUAUGCUCGUGGCAGGCUUUGGCAAAGAUGGCGUUGUGGAAAUAUGAGUCAAAGUGGAGAUUUUUUAAAUAUGACUCCUAUUUUCAGUCAAAUUUGAGAAAUAAUCUUUCAGUUAAACUCUGUUUAUUUGUUUCAAUCAGACAUUGAUUAGUUUAAAUUAUUUUAUUAUUAUUUGACCUAUGAAUUUAGCCUAUAAAUAGGCUCUUUUACAACCUUAGAAAAUACACCCAUUAGAUAUUAGAACUCAUAACACAUUUAGAGAAUUUUGUGCUUACGUUUUGAGGGUUCUUUGUUUUCGGGUUUUCGGGGUUUAGUUUUAUCUCCAUCUUUUGUGCUCUUCAUUCUUUUGCAAUUAUAAUAAAAUUAUCUUUGCACGUGGUUUUUUAUCCUCUUUGGAAGGGUUUUGCCACGUUAAAUUUGUGUGUUCAAUUUCUCAAUUUAUUCCGCUAUUUUUUUACUUGUUGCUUAAUCGGGUCGAUCCUAACAGAUAAAAAUACAAGUUAUAAACAACUUUGAAAUAUUGUUAUUCUACUAGAAAAGAGUUAGAAUUUAUUUCUAAGUAUAAAUUCUAUUUUCCAGAAAUAACAACUAAUUUUUUUUUUUACUUUCAGUUUCUAUAAGCGAGAUUUACUUUCCUGCUGAAAGUAAAAAAAAAUGUUUUUAGUUCUAUGUUUGAUUUAUAAUUGUUGGAGCCCACACUAGAAACAAUUUGUGGUACGAGAAAUAGUGGAGAAGGUUGUUCAAUUGAAAGUCUGGAACGUCAAAGAUCCGUCUCACUCAAAGCAGAGGUAAUUUUUGGAAAAAAAAAUUAGUGUUAUGAGUAUUACAAACCAACUCGAUUUUUAAUUUUAUUUUUUCGUUAUACAAGAAAACUAUUCCGAAUCGAAUAUUUUUCAACAUUUACAUGCAUUAGAGUUUUGAUAUCGUAUAUGGCUCAAGUGUGCAAUUCUUGUUUUUUUUUGGAGGAAUACCUAGUGUGUUUGAAAUGUCAUCCAUGUAUCCAAAUUUCUUUUUCCAUGUUCGAUCAAUUAGGGCAACAUUUAAAUGGCAAUUUUUAAAGUGGUGUGACAAAUGAAAUUUUAUAUGACUGGUGUGGUUUGAUGGAAGCUUAAUUCGAAAUGUGACAUUAAGAUAUAUAUGAAUUGAUGAUUAUUGUUUAUAUGAUUUAUAUGUUAUGAAGUGUUAACAUAUUUGUUGUUUUGAGCAUGUUUGAAUUGCUUGAAAGGAUUUAUAUAUAAAUUGUUAGUAUGCCUAUUGUCUAUUGUUUAUUAAGCAUGUAUGGUGUAUAUGGAUUUCGAGUGCACAAUUAAGCUUUUGAGAAAAAGUUGAGCGUGCAGAUUUUUUCCAUGCGCGGGUUACAAGGAGAUUGGAGGUUGAUUUCCAUAUUUGUGCAGCAACAAUAUAAGGAGUUCUCAACGAGUCUACUUAAUUUGUAAAGACUUUUGGCUUUUUAGUAAUCUAUGGCAUGUACUUGUCUAAUUACGCUUUAAUCUUAUCAAUUGGAAUUUUUAUUUGGAAUUUUUAGUUUUUUCUUUUUUUUUUAAAUCUUUUGGCAUAUUGAUAUUUGUACGGACACAUUAUAGUGACUUUUGGUACUAAUUUUUAUGUGAUUUCUAAUGAUAUGUUUGAAAUAGCAAGUCUUUUUUUACUAGCAUGACUAAAAUUUGAUUUGAUAUGUUUCUAGGCAUGAAUUUAUAUGUUAUGGUGAUGUUUUAGUAUGUCUAACUUCCUGAAUGUAUUAGGUAACAUGUUUAGGAUAUUUAAAGGCAUGAUUGCAUGACAUUUUUUUUACUACAUUUUGUAAGCUUAAGUCUCGAGAUAAGAUAAACAUGUUUCAAGACGUGAAACAUUACUUAAACUGUACAUUUUUAAGUGCAUGUUUGAAGAUAUAGAGAGCUAAGUCUCGGCACAUACAAGCAAGUCUCAAAAUAUUAGGAUUUGUCUUGAUACUUUGGCCUGGGUAUUGAGACCUGACUCCUCAUUUGAUUAAUUUUGGCCCUAGAACUUUGUAAUAAGGUCAUUUGAGCUUGAUUUUCACUAAUAUUGAUAUGUAAUCAUCCAAAUUGUUGUGUAACAUGUUUUUAACUCAAAUUUAUAUGCAUUUUGACUUUAAGUUUGAUUGUUUGAGUUGCUUCAGCAAUGUAUGUGAUGCUAUAUAUUCAGUUGUCUUUACAGAUCAAAUGUAGAGUGUUUCAUGUAUUUUUAAUAAUUGUAUUAAAUUUAUAAAAAUGAAAUCAUUAAAAAUAGAAUAAUUUAGGUUAUAGAAAACUAAACAAAUCCUAAAAAAAAAAAUUCAUAAACUAAGGUGAUACUAUUUUAGUACAAACAUUAUAGGGAUGCUAAUCAUUCUUUACCCAUAAUCAUUUUUUUAGGAUUUUCCUUAAAUUAGUUCUAAAAUAAAUCAUACCUAACGUAAUUAAUUAGUGAAGACUCUAGCUAUAAUUUCCAUGUCCAACUUAUUAGAAAUAACCAACAUCUAUUCGUAACACUAGCUUAUACAAAUUGUAAAAUUUUAAAAAUGAAACUUGUAAUUAUCGUAUUGUCUAUCAUAACUUACUAAUUUGUUAUAAAUUAGUAAUGAUUAUUUUAUCUACCAUUUACUACAAUAUUAUUAAUAUAUCACUACAAUCUAUAUAAUUAUUUGUUACUAUAUUAAGUAUCUAAUAAAUAUUUUACAAAUUUAAGGGUCUUAGUAAAAGGAUUAUUUAGGACGUUAAGUGAAUUGUGCUUUAACAUGUAAAUUAAAAUAAUUUCAAAACUUAAAAUUAUAAUUAAAAUAUCAUAUUACAAAAAAUAGAUAUUAGUAAAUAGAGAAGUUACUUAUUUUUUUAUUAAUAGAUUAUAUAAUUUAUAUAGGUCUAAUUAUGAAAUUUAUUAUUACGUUGUCAAUAAUUUAAUUUAAUUUUAUAAAAAUUUUAGUUAUAAUUCUACUUUGAUAAACAUCUUUUAAUUAAAAAAAUGUAAUGUAGACAUGAUUGUGAGCCACCCUAUUAAGUUAUCAUAAUUUCAAACUCAAAUAUGUAUUAAUAGUUGUAUCCUAAAAGAUGAUUAUGUUUUUAAGUGUACAACUUUUAAAAGUUAUAUAUAAAUUUUCUAUUAGAUAUAAAUUUAUUAUAGUUUUAUCUAUAAAUUAGUAAAUUUUAUUAAAAAAUCAAUCUAAAAGGUUUAAAAUUUAAUUACUUAAUUAACCAACUUUAUUUUUUUUGGUAUAUUUAGUUCAUUUAUAUUUAAAUAAAUUAAUAAAAUUAUUAUGCCAAACUCUAUUCUUACAUAUUUAUUAAUUUAAAUCUAAAUAAAAAAUAUAUAUGUAUAUAUAUUUAAAUUGAAUAAUUUUGUUUAUUUUAACCUUUUAAAAGAUAUUUUUAUUAUUCACUAAUAGUUGCUUAUAUCUAUACGGAUGAUACAAGAGAUACUAGAACAUGAGAAUUAUUAGCAGAGUUAAGUGGCUAUAUAUGUGGCUUUAGCUUCACCACCAAAAACAUCAACAAGAUUUUUCCAAAUCCACGAGGCAUAAAAUCAACCUAUACAACUCUCCAAAAAAUCCAAUUGCAAAUCCACACCAAUGCAGCAACCAAUAGACUGCUGCUGACAUGUACAUUUCCUGAUCCACAACAUCUUCUCAUUUCCAUUAUAACCCCUUCUCUCCUCCAAACCAAAAUAGACUACAAUAACCAUCGGCAAACAAACCAAGUCAACCUAAAGCCUUAGGCACCAUGGCAACCUCUGCUAUCCAACAAUCUACUUUUGUUGGCCAGACCGCUUUGAAGCAGUCCAAUGAGCUCUUACGCAAAGUCGGAGCUUUCAAUGGUGGUCGUGUUACCAUGCGCAGAACUGUGAAAAAUGCCCCUACUAGCAUCUGGUAUACUUUUGUUACUACUUCCUAGUACUAACUAGUAGCAUUUUGUUAUAAGGAUCUUUUCAGUCUAAUCAUUGAUGGUUAACCCAAAUAUUGUGAAACAACGGACUGUAAAAAAUUCAAUUUGUACAGUACAUUCUAGCAGCAAUCUGCCUUAUUUUAAGCCAUACAUUUAAAGAGAAAUAACAUGUACAAGCGAAAUCAUGCAACUGAACUAUAUUUCUGCUUUUUGAUCUGAUUACCUACGGUUUGGUUUUAAAAACAGGUAUGGCCCUGACCGCCCAAAGUACUUGGGUCCAUUCUCAGACCAAAUCCCAUCAUACCUGACAGGUGAAUUCCCUGGUGACUAUGGGUGGGACACUGCUGGGUUAUCAGCUGACCCUGAGACAUUUGCUAAGAACCGUGAGCUUGAAGUGAUCCACUGCAGAUGGGCAAUGCUUGGUGCCCUUGGUUGUGUCUUCCCUGAAAUUCUUUCAAAGAAUGGAGUUAAGUUCGGAGAGGCAGUUUGGUUCAAAGCUGGAUCUCAAAUAUUCUCCGAGGGCGGCCUUGACUAUCUUGGCAACCCAAACCUUAUCCAUGCUCAGAGCAUUCUUGCAAUCUGGGCAUGCCAAGUUGUGCUCAUGGGAUUUGUUGAAGGAUACAGAGUUGGUGGGGGACCACUUGGUGAAGGACUGGACCCAAUUUACCCAGGUGGUGCUUUCGACCCACUUGGACUGGCUGAUGAUCCUGAUGCGUUCGCAGAAUUGAAGGUUAAGGAGAUCAAGAAUGGCCGCCUUGCAAUGUUCUCCAUGUUUGGAUUCUUUGUCCAGGCUAUUGUCACAGGAAAGGGUCCCAUUGAGAACCUCUUUGACCACCUUGCCGAUCCGGUGGCCAACAAUGCAUGGGCUUAUGCCACUAACUUUGUCCCCGGAAAAUGAACUUAGAUUAUAGAUACGUCUCUGAAAGCUGUAACAUUAAUUACUAUGUAGUGUCUGUUGCUGUGUACUGAUGUAAUUCACUGCUAGUCUUUUGAGCUGUUGUAUCAUUAAAGCCAUAUCCUUUUUCCCUGAAAUAGCAC
rnacentral:lncRNA from 1 species